ensembl:lncRNA
UUUCACCUCUGGGAGCGACCUGCUCACCCGGACGUUUCAGAGCAGCCCGGGUGUUUCCACCUGCGACCCAUCCACGCCUUUCCCAGUCCGUAUGUCCCAGAAGUCAGACAGGGGACAAGGACUAUUAAGCAUCGUCCUGGCCAGUCACCAGCUUCUCCCGGGCCAGGUGCGCCCGGGAGUCCCAGGUCCCAGACGCCAUCUCCUUGGCGACAACGCAGGCUCACUCCUUGCGGGAGCCCGUUACCACGGCAACCGGAGUCCUGGGGUGGACGGAGAGCCAAGCGCUGCAGGACUACACUUCCCAGCAGCCCCCGCGAGCGGGGCGUACCAGACUGCUCAGCGUGUCAAGAAUCGGCCGGCAAUGCCGGAGACUCAGAGACGGGGAUCGAGAAGAUCCCCUGGAGGAGGGCACGGCAGCCCGCUCCAGUGUUCUUGCCUGGAGAAUCCUAUGGACAGAGGAGCCUGCGGGCUGCGGUCCACGGGUCCGCAAAGAGUCGGACACCACUGAAGGGACUGAGCGCGCACCCGCGGGGGCGGGGGUCCCGCCCGUCCUCGCAGCCGCGCCCCUCUUCAGAACCGUGGCCCGGAGCAGGAGGGUGGAAGGCUCCGCGCUGCGAGCGGGCGGGGACGCGGGGACCCGCGCCGGCCACCCCGGCGAGUAACGGGCAUCUCGCGCGUUCCCGCGACCCCAGCCUGCAAGCGGGGCGCCCAGGCGUCCGCCACCCCGGAUCCCACCCCAGCGCUGCACGCGGGGUCCCGGCGGGGCGGACCAGCGCACUUCCGGUCCGCGGGCUCCGGCCCGGGCGGGCACCGCUGUCGGCCGUUCAGUUCCGGGCGGGCCUGUCCGUUGUGUUUCUGGCUCCGGCUCCCGCGUCCCGGUCGUGGAGGCCGAGGCCCGGGCGGCUGCACCACCCGGAGGACGGGCGUGGGAGGGAGUUUGGCGGCACGCAGACUGCGCUCCUCCCGCCCUGCUGUGCGUCCUGCUCCGCCCUUCCGCCGGGUGCAGGGACAGACGCUAGGGUUCUCCCGGGCCCUCGGUGGGGGUGCGGUUGGCUUAAGAUAAGAGGUGGUGGAGCCGCCCCCGGCCUGCCCUCCGCGCUUCAAAGCUGCCUCUGUUGA